rnacentral:rRNA from 1 species
UAGGGAAUCUUCCACAAUGGGCGAAAGCCUGAUGGAGCAACGCCGCGUGUGUGAUGAAGGCUUUAGGGUCGUAAAGCACUGUUGUAUGGGAAGAAAUGCUAGAAUAGGGAAUGAUUCUAGUUCGACGGUACCAUACCAGAAAGGGACGGCUAAAUACGUGCCAGCAGCCGCGGUAAUACGUAUGUCCCGAGCGUUAUCCGGAUUUAUUGGGCGUAAAGCGAGCGCAGACGGUUGAUUAAGUCUGAUGUGAAAGCCCGGAGCUCAACUCCGGAAUGGCAUUGGAAACUGGUUAACUUGAGUGUUGUAGAGGUAAGUGGAACUCCAUGUGUAGCGGUGGAAUGCGUAGAUAUAUGGAAGAACACCAGUGGCGAAGGCGGCUUACUGGACAACAACUGACGUUGAGGCUCGAAAGUGUGGGUAGCAAACAGGAUUAGAUACCCUGGUAGUCCACACCGUAAACGAUGAAUACUAGGUGUUAGGAGGUUUCCGCCUCUUAGUGCCGAAGCUAACGCAUUAAGUAUUCCGCCUGGGGAGUACGACCGCAAGGUU